UGAGAAAAUGCAAACAUACGUGGCA
rnacentral:piRNA from 1 species